rnacentral:tRNA from 1 species
GCAUCGGUGGUUUAGUGGUAGAAUGCUCGUCUGCCACGUGGGCGGCCCGGGUUCGAUUCCCGGCCGAUGAA